AGUGCUACGCCGAUCGCCGCGUAGAGCGCACGACGCUACGCCGUGCUACGUCGUAGCUCAUAGAAUAGUGUGUGAACGUGUACUUACAUGUGCGACCUAAGGAGAGCAACGCUUAUGAUUUUUAUUUCAAGAAAUAAAAAAUGUGUUUGAUGAAAAGAAGGUUUCGCUGUAGUGUUAAUAGACGAACGUACAAGUUUUCUGUGUCACGAAGAUCCAGUUGAGAAGACAAACUCAAUAACAAUGGAAUAUGGUUGAACUAUCGCUUACGUGUCAACCGAACUGUGCUUCCGGAAAAUGAUUACGCGCAGUGAAA
rnacentral:misc_RNA from 1 species